rnacentral:rRNA from 1 species
UACAGAGGGGGCGAGCGUUGUUCGGAAUUACUGGGCGUAAAGGGCGCGUAGGCGGCCUGCUAAGUCGAACGUGAAAUCCCCGGGCUCAACCCGGGAACUGCGUCCGAGACUGGUUGGCUCGAAUCCGGGAGAGGGAUGUGGAAUUCCAGGUGUAGCGGUGAAAUGCGUAGAGAUCAUGAGGAAGACCAGUGGCGAAGGCGGGUCUCUGGACAGUUCCUGACACUGAGGCACGAAGGCCAGGGGAGCAAACGGG